GGAGCGACGCCGCGUGGAGGAUGAAGGUCUUCGGGUUGUAAACUCCUGUCAUGCGGGAACAAGCAAGUGAUAGUACCGCAAGAGGAAGAGACGGCUAACUCUGUGCCAGCAGCCGCGGUAAUACAGAGGUCUCAAGCGUUGUUCGGAUUCAUUGGGCGUAAAGGGUGCGUAGGUGGUGGCGCAAGUCUGGUGUGAAAUCUCGGAGCUUAACUCCGAAAUUGCACCGGAUACUGCGUGACUCGAGGACUGUAGAGGAGAUCGGAAUUCACGGUGUAGCAGUGAAAUGCGUAGAUAUCGUGAGGAAGACCAGUUGCGAAGGCGGAUCUCUGGGCAGUUCCUGACACUGAGGCACGAAGGACCAGGGGAGCAAACGGGAUUAGAUACCCCGGUAGUCCUGGCAGUAAACGGUGCACGUUUGGUGUGGGCGAGUUCAGACCCCGUCCGUGCCGGAGCUAACGCGUUAAACGUGCCGCCUGGGAAGUACGGUCGCAAGAUUA
rnacentral:rRNA from 1 species